rnacentral:rRNA from 1 species
GGCGAGUGAAGCGGCAACAGCUCAAAUUUGAAAUCUGGCCCUCGGGUCCGAGUUGUAAUUUGAAGAGGAUGCUUUUGGUGCGGUGCCUUCCGAGUUCCCUGGAACGGGACGCCAUAGAGGGUGAGAGCCCCGUCUGGUUGGAUGCCAAACCUCUGUAAAGCUCCUUCGACGAGUCGAGUAGUUUGGGAAUGCUGCUCAAAAUGGGAGGUAUAUGUCUUCUAAAGCUAAAUAUUGGCCAGAGACCGAUAGCGCACAAGUAGAGUGAUCGAAAGAUGAAAAGCACUUUGAAAAGAGGGUUAAAUAGUACGUGAAAUUGUUGAAAGGGAAGCACUCAUGACCAGACUUGGGCCCGGUGAAUCAUCCAGCGUUCUCGCUGGUGCACUUUGCCGGCCCAGGCCAGCAUCAGUUCGUUGUGGGGGAAAAAGGCUUCGGGAACGUGGCUCCUUCGGGAGUGUUAUAGCCCGUUGCAUAAUACCCUGUGAUGGACUGAGGUUCGCGCUCCGCAAGGAUGCUGGCGUAAUGGUCAUCAGUGACCCGUCUUGAAACACGGACCAAGGAGUCGUCCUCGUAUGCGAGUGUUCGGGUGUCAAACCCCUACGCGUAAUGAAAGUGAACGUAGGUGAGAGCUUCGGCGCAUCACCGACCGAUCCUGAUGUUCUCGGAUGGAUUUGAGUAAGAGCAUACGGGGCCGGACCCGAAAGAAGGUGAACUAUGCCUGUAUAGGGUGAAGCCAGAGGAAACUCUGGUGGAGGCUCGCAGCGGUUCUGACGUGCAAAUCGAUCGUCAAAUAUGGGCAUGGGGGCGAAAGACUAAUCGAACCUUCUAGUAGCUGGUUUCCGCCGAAGUUUCCCUCAGGAUAGCAGUGUUGAACUCAGUUUUAUGAGGUAAAGCGAAUGAUUAGGGACUCGGGGGCGCUAUUUAGCCUUCAUCCAUUCUCAAACUUUAAAUAUGUAAGAAGCCCUUGUUGCUUAAUUGAACGUGGGCAUUCGAAUGUAUCAACACUAGUGGGCCAUUUUUGGUAAGCAGAACUGGCGAUGCGGGAUGAACCGAACGCGAGGUUAAGGUGCCAGAGUAGACGCUCAUCAGACACCACAAAAGGCGUUAGUACAUCUUGACAGCAGGACGGUGGCCAUGGAAGUCGGAAUCCGCUAAGGACUGUGUAACAACUCACCUGCCGAAUGUACUAGCCCUGAAAAUGGAUGGCGCUCAAGCGUCUCACCCAUACCUCGCCCUCAGGGUAGAAACGAUGCCCUGAGGAGUAGGCGGACGUGGAGGUCGUGAC